CUCCUGCCCGCCGCCACUUCAAAUCCUCUCGGGAUCAUCGCCAGAUCCACCUCGUUUUUUCCCCAUCCACCCAAAUGGCAGUCUCCUGUGCCUUCCCGAUCCACCCAUCGAUCCACCCCCACUAAGCUCCUCUGCUCAACCCCCCAGACCCAGUGUCGCCUCAGGACCCAGCAGGCCGCGCCCUCCAGCGACCCUGCUGCCGGCGACCACGACCAGGACCGGCCUUGUCCUGCUCCUCUCUGUCUUCUUCUCCUUCCUCUCCCGUUUUCUCUCUCUCUCUCUCUCUCACGUACCUCCCUCUCUCUCUCUCUCUCAGGUACUCAAGAGCAGCGCCAUGGAUGACCUCCUCCAGCCGACGCCAAGGCCCGCCUUCUGUAGUUCGGUGUCGCCGGAGUUCCCCCACCACCAGAACAACGACGCCAUGGCGCCCGGAGCUCGUCCGGCCCCUGCCACCGCGGAUCCGGCGAGACCCUCCUUGAAUAUUGCGCCUGUGCCCUGGAUCCGCCGACCCUGCCACCUCCGGCGACGCCCUUUCCUUCCCCGCUGUUCCUCGUGUCGUCUCCAUCCCGCGCGAGCCAGCGUCACGUGCUCCAGCACCGCUGCUCCUCUGUCUUUCCUGUCGAACAGAGGAGACGCGCCCGUAGCCUCCCCGCCUCGUGCGUCUGGGUCAGCCAGCGCCAAGCCAGGCCCAAUGCGCCAGAUCCGGCCCGCCUGGCCUCCCCCCUCUUCAGCUGGGCCUUGGCCCUUGUAAUCCGGUAACGUCGUGUUGUGAGGAUCCGUUCGACUACGUCCGUUUGUCUUCUU